UACGUAGGGUGCGAGCGUUGUCCGGAAUUAUUGGGCGUAAAGGGCUCGUAGGCGGUUUGUCGCGUCGGGAGUGAAAACCUCGGGCUUAACUCGGGGCUUGCUUUCGAUACGGGCAGACUGGAGGUAUGCAGGGGAGAACGGAAUUCUUGGUGUAGCGGUGAAAUGCGUAGAUAUCAAGAGGAACACCUGAGGUGAAGACGGGUUGCUGGGCUGACACUGACGCUGAGGCGCGAAAGCCAGGGGAGCAAACGGG
rnacentral:rRNA from 1 species